rnacentral:rRNA from 1 species
ACUUAAGCAUAUCAAUAAGCGGAGGAAAAGAAACCAACAGGGAUUGCCUCAGUAACGGCGAGUGAAGCGGCAACAGCUCAAAUUUGAAAUCUGGCCUCGGCCCGAGUUGUAAUUUGUAGAGGAAGCUUUUGGUGCGGCACCGACCGAGUCCCCUGGAACGGGGCGCCAUAGAGGGUGAGAGCCCCGUAUGGUUGGACGCCUAUCCUCUGUAAAGCUCCUUCGACGAGUCGAGUAGUUUGGGAAUGCUGCUCAAAAUGGGAGGUAAAUUUCUUCUAAAGCUAAAUAUUGGCCAGAGACCGAUAGCGCACAAGUAGAGUGAUCGAAAGAUGAAAAGCACUUUGAAAAGAGGGUUAAAUAGCACGUGAAAUUGUUGAAAGGGAAGCGCUUGUGACCAGACUUGCGCCUGGUCGAUCAUCCGGGGUUCUCCCCGGUGCACUCGGCGGGGCUCAGGCCAGCAUCGGUUUUCGUGGGGGGACAAAGGCACCGGGAACGUAGCUCCUCCGGGAGUGUUAUAGCCCGGGGCGUAAUGCCCUCGCGGGGACCGAGGACCGCGCUUCGGCAAGGAUGCUGGCGUAAUGGUCAUCAGCGACCCGUCUUGAAACACGGACCAAGGAGUCAAGGUUUUGCGCGAGUGUUUGGGUGUAAAACCCGCACGCGUAAUGAAAGUGAACGUAGGUGAGAGCUUCGGCGCAUCAUCGACCGAUCCUGAUGUAUUCGGAUGGAUUUGAGUAGGAGCGUUAAGCCUUGGACCCGAAAGAUGGUGAACUAUGCAUGGAUAGGGUGAAGCCAGAGGAAACUCUUAUGGACCCCCGGAGGUUUUCCUCAGGGCAACCCGCUGAACUUAACCCCCCCCCGAAUUU